AUUGAAUUGGCCCUGUCAGCACUGGUUCUCCACUUGUGAGAGCCUAAAACUUGAUGAGGACGGGUGCACUGCUCUGAGCACAGGGCUAGGAACCAGGAAUGUCUGAGUGUUAAUUCUGACUCUGUUGCCGGGACAAGUCAAGUAUCCUCUUGGACUCAUGUGGCUCCUCUGUAAAAUGGAAUACCGUUCUGCUUUAUACUCCACUCCAGGCAAGAGCCAGUGGAAUCAUCCCCUGGUGUAAAGCCAUUUCCUGGGGAGAUAUUCUAAAAUCUUUGGCCUCACCAGCCUCUCAAAGGUCCCAGUUUCCAGGAACAACCAGUUCAGAUGACUGCUAUUAAUUAAACUGGGAAGAACGUCUUCAGUCUAAGGAAACAUCCACCAGCUAAGUAAAGAGACUUAAAUUUGCAAAGUAUAUUUCAAGUAAUAAAAAAGGGAUUUAUUUCACAUUGUUGCCAGUUUGUUCUGCACAAUGAGGUGUUUAACUAGCAUUUCUAGAGAUAAUUUUUUUUGUCUCAUCCUGAGCAUACAGUAAACACCAUCCACAUCUAUUACUUGCCUUUUCCUACAUAUACAUAACUGCAGCAUCUCCUAAUAUUCUUCAUUAAAUGAGGAAUUGAUCUUCAUGUAGCCUAAGUUUUGAGUGUGUGCGUUUGAAUUAACA